rnacentral:lncRNA from 1 species
UCAAGUUUUAAACCUUAACCUAAGAUAUUUAGUUCGGUUAGACGGCAUCGAGGGCCAACUUCUGUCAUAAUUGUCAUUAUUAUUAUCGAUUUUCUUUCCUUCCUUGCCAUCACCCACCUUCGCAUCAUCGAUCGUCGCCAUUGCUUAUUCCUUUUUAUUUGGGCGUCCAUUGGGUGUGUUCUUUUGUUUUUUUCUCAACAAAAAAUAGUUAAAAAUGUAGCUUAAAGUCAUUAAAGUGUAAUUUCAUCAUAUAGGCAGAAGCUUUUUUGUUGUUUUAUUGUGUGGUUUCAGAUCCCUAGGAUGGGGUCUGACGAAAGGUAUCAUCAGUGCUUUGCUGCUAGGAAGUACCAAAAGCACAAUAAGUGAAACAACUUCCAUUCUACUACUCAACGAGGUACCUCACCUCGAUAAGGUGGGAGUAAGAUCCAGGGAUGCUCUUUGAAUAUUUAAGAAAAAGGACCGAUGACAUCUAGAAUUAAGGGUAUACAUCAGUGUCAACUAAUUUUUAAUAUCAUACUCUCCAUAAAGAAUAUUUUAAUUACAGGAUUAGUUUUUAUAUAUUACCACUCCCCUAACAUUUUUGGGUACCCUCUGUACAAAAAAGUAGGUAGUAAACGUAAAAUUUUUAGGGCAUAUUUUUGAGAAAUAUAGUUCUUAUGUCUGUAAAUAAUUAAUUUAUAAAUUUGAUAAAUUGUAAUUUUUGUAUCAUAUCCUCAAAAUGUAAAAUGUAAAAAGCAAAAUACAUACCAUGGAGUGUUGUGCUAAAGCAGCACAAAAACAAAUUGUAUCAGGAUCCCUUUUAAGACAAUAAAUUAUAAACUUAC